UACGGAGGGUGCAAGCGUUAUCCGGAUUCACUGGGUUUAAAGGGUGCGCAGGCGGAUUUGUAAGUCAGUGGUGAAAGCCCCGGGCUCAACCUGGGAAUUGCCGUUGAUACUGCAAGUCUUGAGUAUAGUUGAGGUGGGCGGAAUACAUCAUGUAGCGGUGAAAUGCUUAGAUAUGAUGUAGAACACCGAUUGCGAAGGCAGCUCACUAAACCAUAACUGACGCUCAGGCACGAAAGCGUGGGGAGCAAACAGG
rnacentral:rRNA from 1 species